CGCAUAUUGUGCCUUUACAUGCCCCUGUUUUUUCACCAAUGUAUGUCAAAGUUUGUGGUAAAAUAUAAUUUUGGGCAUUUUUUUACAACUGCAUUACUUUUUGCUGGGCAUUUUGUAUAUGUGUCACUAUGAUCAAAGCCCCAAAAUUAUGCUCAGCUAAGUCUUCUGAGUAAAAUGAUACCCCCAUUGUAUGUCUUUGGCACUAUUUCGUGAAGCUACAAUGCCAUAUAGGAGACCUGUCCAUUUCGGUAUUUACAGUAGAAUUUUGAGACGGAUUUG